AAUUAUACAAUUGCUUAUUGGAAUUUAAAAUGGAAGAGGAAACGGUUAAGGAUAAUAUGAUAAUAUGGGCUAAAAAUUGCGGUCAUAACAUUCACUUAGAACAAUGGGAACGAAUAUGGCAAACCAACUAUAAAUUAAUGUUAUCUGUAUCAUAUAAAGAGAAUAUCUAUAAAACGUUCUACUGCUGGCACCUUCCACCGGCAAGAUUGGCAAAAAUGUUUUCCAAUAUGUCACCUAAAUGCUGGAAGUGCAAUCAUAGCCAAGGAACAUAUUUUCACAUGUGGUGGAAAUGCCCCAAAGCUCGAAAAUACUGGUCUAAGAUACAGGGAUGGUUGGAAGAGAUGACAAAAUUAAAGAUCAAACUCAAUCCAGAGACCUUCUUAUUGGGAAUAUCAGAACUGUCAUGGAGUAAAAAACAACAGCAUCUAAUACUACACAUAAUCACAGCAGCAAGAAUAGCCUUUGCCCAAAAUUGGAAAUUAACAAUGGUACCCAUAGAUUUAGCAGUAAUCAACAAAAUUUACCAAUGCGCAGAAAUGAUUAGAUUAACUAUGAUAUUAAAAAACAAGGAAGAGGGAGAAUUUUUUACAACAUGGAAUACAUGGUACAAAUGGCUAAAUGAAAAGGAAAUAAAGAUGUAUAGUGAAAAUGAUUCAAGAAAUAUCAUGGAACAACAGAAAUAAGGAUAAAUGUAUAGCUAUGUAUAUAUGUAUAGUAUAGCUAUGUAUAUAGGUGUAGUAUAGCUAUAUAUAUAU